CGUAGGUGGCAAGCGUUGUCCGGAAUUAUUGGGCGUAAAGCGCGCGCAGGCGGUCUUUUAAGUCUGAUGUGAAAGCCCACGGCUCAACCGUGGAGGGUCAUUGGAAACUGGGAGACUUGAGUGCAGAAGAGAAGAGUGGAAUUCCACGUGUAGCGGUGAAAUGCGUAGAGAUGUGGAGGAACACCAGUGGCGAAGGCGACUCUUUGGUCUGUAACUGACGCUGAGGCGCGAAAAGCGUGGGAGCAAACAGGAUU
rnacentral:rRNA from 1 species